ensembl:lncRNA
CCCCGCCGGCUGGUCCCCGUGUCCAGGAGGCAGCCAGCAGCAUCUGAGCCCCGGCCGGCUGAGCCCCCUACCCGCGGGGGAACAUGCACCCCAUCCCCGCAGAGCUGGGAGCCCCUGGAUCCUGACAUGGCCACGCCGGGCUCUGACCUGCCGCUGGAGGAUGGGGAGCCUCCGCCCCCCAACUCUCCUGGAGCCCCCUGGACCCAGGUGAAGGAGGAGGGGCCCCUGUCGAGGCCAGAGGCAGCGCUAACCCCAGAGACCGAGGUGCUGGGCACUGAUGGGGAGGGGUCGAUGCACAGUGCUGGUGAGAGGGCUGGGGGGGCACUGGGGGUGGGGGACAGAGUGGGGUUGGCAUGGAAGGGCCUGGGCCCCAUGAAG